CCUACGGGAGGCAGCAGUGAGGAAUAUUGGUCAAUGGGCGGAAGCCUGAACCAGCCAAGUAGCGUGCGGGAUGAAGGCCCUACGGGUUGUAAACCGCUUUUGCACGGGGAUAACACCCUCCACGUGUGGAGGUCUGCAGGUACCGUGCGAAUAAGGGCCGGCUAACUCCGUGCCAGCAGCCGCGGUAAUACGGAAGGCCCGAGCGUUAUCCGGAUUCAUUGGGCUUAAAGGGAGCGUAGGCGGGUGUUCAAGUCAGCUGUAAAAUCGCGCGGCUCAACCGCGCACCGCAGUUGAAACUGGACGCAUUGAGUUUACAACAGGCAGGCGGAAUGCGUGGUGUAGCGGUGAAAUGCAUAGAUAUCACGAGGAACCCCGAUUGCGAAGGCAGCCUGCCGAGGUGCGACUGACGCUGAGGCUCGAAGGUGCGGGUAUCAAACAGGAUUAGAUACCCCUGUAGUC
rnacentral:rRNA from 1 species